rnacentral:rRNA from 1 species
AUUGAACGCUGGCGGCAUGCUUUACACAUGCAAGUCGAGCGGCAGCGGGGAGGAGCUUGCUUCUCUGCCGGCGAGUGGCGAACGGGUGAGUAAUACAUCGGAACGUGUCGAGAAGAGGGGGAUAACCACCCGAAAGGGUGGCUAAUACCGCAUAAAUUCUGAGGAAGAAAGCUGGGGACCUAGGAAUAGGCCUAGCGCUUUUUGAGCGGCCGAUGUCGGAUUAGCUAGUUGGUGAGGUAAAGGCUCACCAAGGCGAAGAUCUGUAGCGGGUCUGAGAGGAUGAUCCGCCACACUGGGACUGAGACACGGCCCAGACUCCUACGGGAGGCAGCAGUGGGGAAUUUUGGACAAUGGGGGCAACCCUGAUCCAGCCAUGCCGCGUGUAUGAAGAAGGCCUUAGGGUUGUAAAGUACUUUUGUUAGGGAAGAAAAGUCAGCUGUGAAUAAUGGCUGAUACUGACGGUACCUAAAGAAUAAGCACCGGCUAACUACGUG